UACGGAGGAUGCAAGUGUUAUCCGGAAUCACUGGGCGUAAAGCGUCUGUAGGUGGUUCGAAAAGUCCACUGUUAAAGAUUGAGGCUUAACUUCAAAAAUGCCGUGGAAACUUUCAAACUAGAGUAUGGUAGGGGUAGAGGGAAUUUCCAGUGGAGCGGUGAAAUGCGUAGAUAUUGGAAAGACCACCGAUGGCGAAGGCACUCUACUGGGCCAUUACUGACACUGAGAGACGAAAGCUAGGGGAGCAAAUGGG
rnacentral:rRNA from 1 species